AUGUUUUAAAAAAAUUAUGAAAUAAUGACCGAUAAAAGGGAUAUAAAAGUGUUGCACUUUGUGUGCGUACACAAACGGUAAUGUAGAAAUCGUUUUAUCGCAAAGUGUAUAAGGAUUGUCGAAGGGGAUGGAAAAAUCAGUUACAAAAAAAAAAAAAAAUGGGAAAAAAGUGAAAAAAGAAAGAGACCGUGGCGACACUUAGCCGUUGUGUUUAGCGGUGCGAUUGCGUUAGGGGGUAGUAGGUGGUACUUCGCCCUAUAUAAACUCUUCCUUUCCUCCAGCAAUAACAUUACGGGCGACGCUCCCCCGAACCCGAACCGCGAACAGUUUACCCACUCCACAGCAAUUGAUUGCUAAUAUUCGAAAAUUGAAUCAAAAUCAAAGUCGAAUCAUAAAGCGCGCGCGAAAAACAUUAAUCUUAAUUGUAAUAAUGGAAAAUAAAACGAUUUUUUUCAUCAUUCUGGACUUGUUCGUUUUAUUUUCGAUUCAAAAUCGCGUUCAAUGCAGCCCGAUUGAAAAAAAAAGUGCAGCCCCGGAAAGGGUUACCGACGAUUCCGAUUAUAUCUUCGAUGUUAAAUACGAUGAGUAUCCGAUGGUUGUGCCAAGAAAACGAGCCGCAUUACUAGUGGAUCGUUUGAUGGUGGCCCUUCAAAAAGCGAUUGAAGAAGAGGAUCAAAGGAGCAUAGAGGCGCAAAGAAAACAUUCCGGUUACGGAUUAAGACAAGACGAUGUCCGUUCAAUUGAAGAUAAAAAUGCAACAAGGUUUUUUUUUGCGCGUAAUUCAUGGUAUAUAAAGGAUUUGCGAAAUAAUUUUUUUUUAAAUAUAAAGCGACCAAAAUGAUGUUCGUUUUUGCGUUGAUUUUAAUUGGGCUUGUGUUCUUGAUUGGGGAGAGUUUCGCUGAUGACGCGAUUUUUGACUAUAUCCAAAAUACAACUAAGGAAGUUUUGAAUAAUUUCACCAAUCAAGCUGUUGAUGUAAUGGGUAGAUUGGCUACAAUUAAUCCGUUGGGAAAUUAAUUUUUUGUAUGUUGAAAUGUCAUAUGUUAAUAGAGCGAAUGGCGCCAUCUAUUAAUUAAAAAUUUUGACGAAA